UACGAAGGGGGCUAGCGUUGUUCGGAUUUACUGGGCGUAAAGCGCACGUAGGCGGGUCGUUAAGUCAGGGGUGAAAUCCCGGAGCUCAACUCCGGAACUGCCUUUGAUACUGGCGACCUUGAGGCUGGAAGAGGUUAGUGGAAUUCCCAGUGUAGAGGUGAAAUUCGUAGAUAUUAGGAAGAACACCGGUGGCGAAGGCGGCUCACUGGUCCGAAACUGACGCUGAGGUGCGAAAGCGUGGGGAGCAAACAGG
rnacentral:rRNA from 1 species